CAACUUCCACCUGGCUUACCUCCUCAUUUAUGCGUCAUGACUUGUAUCGUCUUGAGCGUAUUGUGGGUUUCCUGUGUUGCAUACCUUUCUAAUGGUAUCGUUUUGAUUGAUCGAAGUCCCUUUUCAUCUUGUGUUGCCUUUGUGAUGCAUGAUGAACCUUGAGGCGGCCUCUAUGUUCCACCACGUUGAUGCUAGUGUUUUAAUGUUGUGGCCCAUUGAGCGUUGCUUGGUUUCGUGGAUACAUAACAUGAUUUGGGCAUAGGGUUACUCGUGACUCUUGUUUUGUCCUUUAUUAGUGUUCUUUAAAACGACGGUUCAUGUGCGCCUAGGCUUGUACCUGCGCGAUGUUCUUUGUCGAAGAGGAGUGCUACCUGGUUGAUCCUGCCAGUAGUCAUAUGCUUGUCUCAAAGAUUAAGCCAUGCAUGUGUAAGU
rnacentral:misc_RNA from 1 species